UACGUAGGGGGCUAGCGUUGUCCGGAAUCAUUGGGCGUAAAGCGCGUGUAGGCGGUCCGGUAAGUCCGCUGUGAAAGUCGGGGGCUCAACCCUCGGAUGCCGGUGGAUACUGUCGGGCUUGAGUACGGAAGAGGCGAGUGGAAUUCCUGGUGUAGCGGUGAAAUGCGCAGAUAUCAGGAGGAAUACCUAUGGCGAAAGCAGGUUUCUGGGCCACCACUGACGCUGAUCUGCGAAAGCUAGGGGAGCAAACAGG
rnacentral:rRNA from 1 species